ensembl:lncRNA
AUGAGUGCUGGUCAUGGACAGAUGACCCCGCUGUGUGUUACUGAAAGAGAACAGAACACACACUACACACCAUGUGUCUCUCUCGACAGGUGUUAUCACCUAAGACCCCCCAACUCUGCUGCUCGACACAAAGUCAUCCAUCACCACAGCAACAGUGCCCGACAUUGCCUGGGAAGCGAGGGACUGCCAGGGCAGAUGGAAGAGAGGCAGCUCAACUGGUCUUCCAGCAUCAGGUGGUCUGGGAAUGAUAGAGAGAGACUGAAAGAGACAGAGGGCAUCUUCCUUUGACACCAAGAAGUAAAAAAAAAAAAAAAAACUUUCUUUUUGACACACAGACAGUAAAGACAGGUGUGUCUGUGACUGGAACUCCCAGCUGGAAACUCUAGAAAUAAAUGUACAAAGCCUUCUCA